GCUGGAAUGGCCGAGUCGUUAAGGCGAUAGAUUUGAAUAAUGUUCGUGAUCGAAUGGUCAAAUAUCUAUUACUCUCUGAGUGCGUAGGUUCAAAUCCUGCUUCCAGCG